rnacentral:pre_miRNA from 1 species
GAGUUUGCAGUGUUGAUUCCCUGAAAGACAUGGGUAGUGAGAUGAGUUUGACUGCAUUGCCAUCUCACUACCUUGUCUUUGUUGGAAAUAGCACGUGCAGU